GUUAGGAAUAUUGGACAAUGGGCGCAAGCCUGAUCCAGCCGUGCCGCGUGAGUGAUGAAGGCCUUCGGGUUGUAAAGCUCUUUAGCCGAUGAUUAUAAUGACUGUAGUCGGAAAAUAAGCCCCGGCUAACUUCGUGCCAGCAGCCGCGGUAAUACGAAGGGGGCGAGCGUUAUUCGGAAUCACUGGGCGUAAAGCGUGCGUAGGCGGCUUUGCAAGUUGGGAGUGAAAGCCCAGGGCUCAACCCUGGAAUUGCUCUCAAAACUGCAAGGCUCGAAUUCGGGAGAGGAUAGCGGAAUUGUCAGUGUAGCAGUGAAAUGCGUAGAUAUUGACAGGAACACCAGUGGCGUAAGCGGCUAUCUGGACCGAUAUUGACGCUGAGGCACGAAAGCGUGGGGAUCAAACAGGAUUAGAAACCCCAGUAGUCC
rnacentral:rRNA from 1 species